rnacentral:rRNA from 1 species
CAGCGGAGCGUGUGGUUAAUUCGAUGUUACACGAAGAACCUUACCAGGGUUUGACAUGCAAGUGGUAGGAAGCCGAAAGGUGACCGACCCUUCGGGGAGCUUGCACAGGUGCUGCAUGGCUGUCGUCAGCUCGUGUCGUGAGAUGUUCGGUUAAGUCCGCUAACGAGCGCAACCCUCGCUGUGUGUUAUAUGUGUCACACGGGACUGCCGGUCUUAAGCCGGAGGAAGGUGGGGAUGAUGUCAAGUCAGCAUGGCCUUUAUAUCCUGGGCUACACACACGCUACAAUGGCCAACACAAUAGGUUGCUAAGCCGCGAGGUGGCGCCAAUCCAUAAAGUUGGUCUCAGUUCAGAUUGUAGGCUGCAACUCGCCUGCAUGAAGAUGGAGUUGCUAGUAACCGCAGGUCAGCAAUACUGCGGUGAAUACGUUCCCGGGUCUU